UACGAAGGUGGCAAGCGUUGUUCGGAUUUACUGGGCGUACAGGGCGCGUAGGCGGUUGGAUAAGUCCUCCGUGAAAUCUCCAGGCUUAACCUGGAAAGUGCAGAGGGGACUGUUCAGCUAGAGGAUGGGAGAGGAGCGCGGAAUUCCCGGUGUAGCGGUGAAAUGCGUAGAGAUCGGGAGGAAGGCCGGUGGCGAAGGCGGCGCUCUGGAACAUUUCUGACGCUGAGGCUCGAAAGCGUGGGGAGCAAACAGG
rnacentral:rRNA from 1 species